CAAACCGUGAGAGAGAAGGGAGAAAGAAGAAGAAGAAGAGAAAAGAGGGGAAAAUAAGGGAAAAGGAAGAGAUUGGAAGAAAUAAGUUUAAAGAUAAUCCUGAUAUUCUACCGGCGGGACGUUAGUAGGAUUUUCUUCGAUAUCAGCUUUGAGUUUUGUUGCUUUCGAGUCAGGCUUAUAGCUUGAUAGCAGGUCAUUUUGUUGGACUUUCAGAACCUGCUCUUUUGGUAGUAAUUUGUACCUUCCUUUAUGUCUAGUUAGUGCUCCAAAACUCUGAACUUAUAUAAACUCUUGUAUUAAGACAAUUCAAUUAUAUUAUAAAGUUGAUUUUGUUAUUAA